rnacentral:sRNA from 1 species
UAAUCUUUUGCGUUCUUCAAUGCUGUUUUCAGACUCCGGAUUUACUUUGGUAUUGUUUUCUCUCUUCCUGCAAAGCUGAGGCAGAGUUGGACUCCUUUACUGUGAGUUUAAAGAUGUGAAAAUAAGGCAUUGCUGGAAGCAACAGUUUGGCAGCCUGGGGUACACUCAGGUUAUUCGUUACAACUAUUAUUAUUUGAUGUCUUUUUUUAAACUCAGGUCAUCCACUUUUGACUGUCAUCCAUGGAAGAGCUCUUAUUAAAUGCCUCAGACUUUCGGGACCUAUGAUUCUUUGGCACAACCUUUUGGAAAAUUCUUAAGCGGGGAUGAAGCUAACUUGAUUGGAGUUGGGGAAAAAGAAGACAGAUUAGUAUUUUUCAUGCUGACAAAAAAUAGCUGCUAUGACUUUUCCCGCAACGUGGACAGGGGCCAAGUGAAGCUGAACUGGUCAUGGUCUGUCGCCCAGUGUUCCCUUGUCGUCGGCGAUUUUGCCCCCGACCCUUCUUGGUGGGCUUAGUGGUGGCAAUCUGUCUCUUCUACCAGACUCUGACCCUCCGAGGGUCGAGGAAGCUCACAGCCGCUGCCCCUGGGGCUGUCCCACACACAUCCACUGAAACCCAGGCAAGCAGAUGCAAGAAAGGAUUCUCUCAGGACAAACAGUGCUUCCUUCUCUCUGGUAAUGCCCAGGAAACCAGAAAGGUCAAAGAAUCAAUGGAGACACACUUUGGCAGCCAUGGCCGAAGGGCCAUACUCUACAGGCCUCCUUUCUACAGCAAAACAGAGCUUCAGCUACACCAGCACAUUCUGACUCAACAUGGCUAUACGGUUGUCAUCGCUGAAGAAAGGCUCAAUGCCGGCCUAGGGCUGGGGCUACUAGAACAAGGUGAUCUGGGCUCUUGGGAUCUGCUCAUUUGCCUGUCUUCUAAGAAAGCAGAAGGAACACCCUGUAUAUCCAAGGAAGUCAUGUGCCAGUUAGGUUUACAUCAAAAGCUCAGGCGGCGGGAGGAGCGGCAGCGGCCAGGCAGCCCAGCUUGGCGAAGGCUCUCGGUGCGAUGAGGCCUGCAGGCACCUGGCACGCACCCUCCUUGUCACCAGGAUGCCCAAGAAGAAGGUCAUGAAGGGACCAUCAAGGAAGAGCCCAAGAGGAGAUUGGCGCAGUUGUCAGCUAAACCUGCUCCUGCAAAAGUGGAAGCGAAGCUGAAAAAGGCAGCAGCGAAGGAUAAAUCUUCAGGCAAAAAUGUGCAAACAAAAGGGAAAAGGAGAGCAAAGGGAAAACAGGCCAAAGUGGCAAACCAAGAAACUAAAGAAGAUUUACCUGCAGAAAACGGGGAAAUGAAAACUGAGGAGAGUCCAGCCUCUGAUGAAGCAGGAGAGAAAGAAACCAAGUCUGAUUAAUACAGUAUACCAUGUCUUAUCAGCAGUCUCUGACUCCCUUCUUGUACAAUCCAGAGAAAUAUUUUUAUCAAUUAUUUUGUAAAUGCAAGUUUUUUAGUAGCUCUAGAAACAUUUUUAAGAAGGAGGGAAUCCCACCUCAUCCCAUUUUUUAAGUGUAAAUGCUUUUUUUUUUUUUGGAGGUAAAAUCAUUUGCUGGUUGUUUAUUUUUUUGGCACAACCAGAAAAUAGUGUGGGAUAUUGAAUUAUGGGAGGCCUUGACUGUCUCGGGUGUCAGCUUAACAUUCCAUAGAUGGGGGGUUAGUUUUUAUAUCCUAUAAAACAAAGCAUAUUAAAUGGAAAUAUGAAGUCAGUCCUGCAUUUAAUGUCUUGAACAUUUUAAAUUACUUCUAUUCCCUUGCUGUUUUUUAGUAGAAUUGUUUUCUAAAGAAAACCACUCUUUGAUCCUGGCUUCUCCCUGUCAGAAUUGUGUGCACUCUGUAAGAUCUGUGGUUGUGGUAGUCCUGUUUUCCUAAUAACUUUGUUAUGCUGUGAAAGAUUAAAAAUUUGAAUAUGUAGGGUAUAUGCUAUUCAGUUGUGAAUUGGUGAAAUGUAUGUAACAGCUUAUCAACAUGUGAAGAUAUUGAUAGCCUCUUAAGGAAAAUUUGCUUCCAAAUUUUAAGCUGGAAAGUCGCUGGAAUAACUUUAAAAAAGAAUUACAAUACAUGGCUUUUUAGAUUUUCGGUAUGUAUGUUAAGAAUUGUGUACAAGUUUAAGUGUCUGUACUGAUCCACAUCCAAUAAAAUCUCAAUUAUGAAAGAAAAAAAAAAAA